AUUGAACGCUGGCGGCAGGCCUAACACAUGCAAGUCGAGCGAGCGGCGGACGGGUGAGUAAUGUAUGGGGACUGCCCGAUAGAGGGGGAUAACUACUGGAAACGGUAGCUAAUACCGCAUAUUAUCGGAUAACCCAUAUGGGAUUAGCUCGUAGGUGAGGUAAUGGCUCACCUAGGCGACGAUCCCUAGCGGGGCUGAGAGGAUGAUCAGCCAACCUGGGACUGAGACACGGCCCAGACUCCCACGGAGGCAGCAGUGGGGAAUAGUGCACAAUGGGCGCAAGCCUGAUGCAGCCAUGCCGCGUGUAUGAAGAAGGCCCUAGGGUUGUAAAGUACUUUCAGUCGGUAGGCGGUACCGGCAGAAGAAGCACCGGCUAACUCCGUGCCAGCCGCGGCGGUAAUUC
rnacentral:rRNA from 1 species